rnacentral:rRNA from 1 species
AAAUUGAAGAGUUUGAUCAUGGCUCAGAUUGAACGCUGGCGGCAGGCCUAACACAUGCAAGUCGAGCGGCAGCGGGAAAGUAGCUUGCUACUUUUGCCGGCGAGCGGCGGACGGGUGAGUAAUGCCUGGGAAAUUGCCCAGUCGAGGGGGAUAACAGUUGGAAACGACUGCUAAUACCGCAUACGCCCUACGGGGGAAAGCAGGGGACC